UGAAUAGAAAGUCAUACAGCUUUGGAACGUCAUAGCGAAAGAGCAGGUGAAACAACAGUGGAAGAAGAGGGGAAUUGAGAAUGAGGAAGGAUCCAGAAAAGGA